rnacentral:lncRNA from 1 species
AUACCACAUACUUUGUAACUAAGAAAAUUAUUGUUUUUUUACAGCACCAGAAGCUGGGAAGUCCAAUAUCAAGUUGUCAGCAUUUGGCAAGAAUCCUCUUGCAGCGUUAUCCCACAGCAGAAGGCAAGAAGCACAGUUGAUGCCUCCCUCAAAAACAAGCUUCACUCAUGGACAGUAGAUGAAAGGUUGAAGAAUCUAGUUUCAAGAUCAAGCACAAGAAUCGCAUUAGCAAUGAGAAGCUAAAAACUUACAACAUGGAAAGUGAACAUUACAACAAAAAUUUUGACAAAGUGAAACCUGAAGAAUAAAAUGCUCCAGUUAUAUUCCUAAGACCAUAGCUUUGGAAGGAAGUGAAAGUCAGGAAGAAAAUCAUGACCACUUAUGGGGCUGGAAUUGUGGCUCAGUGGUAGAGCCUCCUCUAACACAUGCGAGGCCCUGGGUUCCAUCCUCAGUACCACAUAAAAAUAAAUUAAUAAAAUAAAGGUGUUGGUUAAAAAAAAGAAAAGAAAAUGAUGACCACUUAGACCUUCAAAUGAGUAAGAUCUGCAACUAAC